rnacentral:rRNA from 1 species
AACUACGUGCCAGCAGCCGCGGUAAUACGUAGGUCCCGAGCGUUGUCCGGAUUUAUUGGGCGUAAAGCGAGCGCAGGCGGUUUGAUAAGUCUGAAGUUAAAGGCUGUGGCUCAACCAUAGUUCGCUUUGGAAACUGUCAAACUUGAGUGCAGAAGGGGAGAGUGGAAUUCCAUGUGUAGCGGUGAAAUGCGUAGAUAUAUGGAGGAACACCGGUGGCGAAAGCGGCUCUCUGGUCUGUAACUGACGCUGAGGCUCGAAAGCGUGGGGAGCGAACAGGAUUAGAUACCCUGGUAGUCCACGCCGUAAACGAUGAGUGCUAGGUGUUGGAUCCUUUCCGGGAUUCAGUGCCGCAGCUAACGCAUUAAGCACUCCGCCUGGGGAGUACGACCGCAAGGUUGAAACUCAAAGGAAUUGACGGGGGCCCGCACAAGCGGUGGAGCAUGUGGUUUAAUUCGAAGCAACGCGAAGAACCUUACCAGGUCUUGACAUCCCGAUGCUAUUUCUAGAGAUAGAAAGUUACUUCGGUACAUCGGUGACAGGUGGUGCAUGGGUGUCGUCAGCUCCUGUCCUGAGAUGUUGGGUUAAGUCCCGCAACGAGCG